rnacentral:rRNA from 1 species
GGAUCGGAGUCUGCAACCCGACUCCGUGAAGCUGGAUUCGCUAGUAAUCGCGCAUCAGCCAUGGCGCGGUGAAUACGUUCCCGGGCCUUGUACACACCGCCCGUCAAGCCAUGGGAGCCGGGGGUGCUUGAAGUGCGUCGCCGCGAGGCGCGCCCUAGAGCAAAACCGGUGACUGGGGCUAAGUCGUAACAAGGUAUC